GAUCAAUAACAGGUGUUUGUGGAGCAUUUUCUGAAUNCAAUAAACCCAAAACAGAAACNCNUUGUAUCACUNUCUGGAAAAGGGGUGGGCGGUAAUAAAGCUAAUAGGGUGUGUCCAUAAGUAAUACUGAACUUGGAAAUGUGCGGCUUUGCAGCAUUUUGUCUUUCUAUAAAAAUGUGUCGUUCCUUUUUUUCAUUUUUUGGCGCGUCGCCUCGGGGUCGUAUAGAAUAUGCGUCACUUUUAAAAAUAAGAUUGCAGAUCAGGGCAAAACAAGUAGCAAAUCAUAGCAAGAGACCCUGAUUUUUGUGACAUAAAUAUUUUUACUUCUGUGUUAGGUUAACUUUUUAUGUAACUGUAAAUGGAAUAGAGUUGAGGGGAUAGUGCCCACAAGUCAAUAUGUUUAUUUUGUAAAGUUGAAAGAUAAUUAUUUUUAUGCUCAGGUGAUUUUGGUGUUGAAUUUUCUGUAAUAUUAACAUAAGAGUAAUACAUUGAGUGGUUAGUAUAUGGUGUAAAAGUGGUAUAACGCAUGUAUUAAGAGCAGUUAUACAAUAUUUGGGGCCGCUGAAUGAGAUAUAGAUAUUAAAAUGUGGAUAAUCAUGGGCUUUAUGGGUAAAUGGAACAGGGUAUAGACCACUGAGGCAAGUGCCGUGCAUAAUGAUAUGAGUGCAUCUAGUGGCGAACGUGGC
rnacentral:misc_RNA from 1 species